rnacentral:rRNA from 1 species
UACGGAGGGUGCGAGCGUUAAUCGGAAUCACUGGGCGUAAAGCGCACGUAGGCUGUCUGGCAAGUCAGGGGUGAAAUCCCGCGGCUCAACCGCGGAACUGCCUUUGAAACUGUCAGACUUGAGUAUCGGAGAGGGUGGCGGAAUUCCAGGUGUAGGAGUGAAAUCCGUAGAUAUCUGGAAGAACACCGGUGGCGAAGGCGGCCACCUGGACGAAAACUGACGCUGAGGUGCGAAAGCGUGGGUAGCAAAC